AUGCUCCAUACUAGUAUAAAAAGCGUACUGUAGCCUAGCCGAUGACGCGUCAUGAACAUGUUUUUAAUUUGCAUCGAACAUGUCGACAGUGGUGUUUGAAAGCAUGAUUUUGACAUCAAACUAGGACUUUGGAGGGCGUAGUAAAAAGUAUCUGAUGCCUAAGGAACCGGGCCCUACACUACACAAUCACCAUAGACGUAGCUGUAGCUCCGGAAGAGGGGAACCAGCCGUGUCGGUAUUGGUACAGCGAUGGCUAGUAAAACUUAGGGGGGAAAAUAACCAGCUUUUUUUCGCAAAGAUCACCUUUCGAUGAACUACGUGUUUCAUAUGAAUGAACAGAAGAAGUAAAUGAGAAUAGAUGAUUAAAAAUUGGAGGGAGCAUGUUGUGAGUAUAUUUAAACAUAAGUAUACCCAGUCGGUGGUGGUAGAGAUCAUUCAGUUUCAGAAUAUUAAGUUUGGCAAAUAGAGGAGUGGUAUGAUCAAGGUAACCUGCACUAUUUACAAUACGAUCAGCUUUCUUCUGCAACUUAAAAAGUUUGUUGGAGCCAUGUACAGUUGAAGAUCCCCAAAAAGAAAGUAGGCCAUAAUUCAAGUAUGAAAGAAUAAAGGAAUUAUAUAAUGUUAAAAGAAUAUUUUUAGGUACAAAAUUCUUCAGACGAUUCAUAACCCCAACAUUUUUAGAAAUUUUACUACAUAAAACAUCAAUGUGGCAAUUCCAAGUGAGAUUUUUGUUUAUACAAAGUCCAAGAAAUGUAGUAGUCUUGACUUGAUUGAGUACAGUACCAUCAAAGCUAAGAGAAACUGUGGCCUGGUAUUUAUGUUGGCGUGGACAAAAAAUAAUGUAAUUAGUCUUAAGCAAAUUAAUUGAUAAUUUGUUCGAAAUGAGCCAUCUACUUAUUUUAACAAGUUCAACAUUAACAGUUUGGAUGGCUGUAUCCACAUUAUGGUGAUUGUAAAUUAAAGUAGUAUCAUCUGCAAAUAAACAGAAAGACAUGACAUCAGAAGAUCUACAAAUAUCAUUGAUAUAAAUAAUAAAUAGUAAUGGACCUAACACACUUCCUUGAGGGACUCCACAAGUGAUGAACAGUUCUACAGAGUGAUGUAAAUUAUAAGAAACAAACUGCCUUCUAUUUGAUGCAUAACUUCUGAACCAGUCCAAGGCCAACCCUCGGACACCAAAAUGCUCCAAUUUAUUUAAAAGGAUGUCAUGGUUAACAGUGUCGAAGGCCUUGGACAGGUCCAGGAAAAUACCGACAGAAAACUGCUUGUUCUCAAAGGCAUCGAUAAUUUUACUUAACACUAGUACAGGUAGAAAGCUCUCACAACAUACAUUGUGUACGUCAAACAAAAGCGCAUAAAAAGGUUUUAUGAACUGAAAAACUUGUUGAGAGUUAUUUUCUCCACUAGAAUUCUGAUUAUGAAUCUAACCCAUAAGUAUAUUAUUAAAAACACCUUCUGUGCAGGUGACUUGCAAAAUUUAACCCACAAUUAAACUAUAAAAUUUGUCAUCUGAAAACUUGCAUAACUUUGAAUGCGAUUUUCUUGAAGUCUAGUUUUGACGUGAAAUGCUUGUUUUGCUGGUUCGUAAAAACGGCGACGAAAUGAUGUAUUAUCCAUCAUUUAUGUAACUUAAGAUAUGAUCAAUAGUAGUGGUUCAUGAAAUUGACCCUUGUCCAAUUCAUAAUACAGUAAAGGCAUUUUCACUAGAGCAUCCAUCCCCUGUGCGAACUCACCCUGGGCUGCCCCUGGGCUGCCCUGGGUGACUAUCGAUUGUUCACCCUCGAGCUCACCCCGAGUUGUUUCAGACGUGUUUCCCAUAAAACUGUGUUUAAAUUGCAUAAUUAAUACUGAGUUCUUCAUUGCCAAAUUCAGGUAUCUUUUAAACAUCCAAAAUCCACUACAACAUGCAUACUUAUCAUGGACAUGCAUAAAAAAUAUGCAUGUUGAGUCCUGGCCCUAUUUUCACACUUGCUUCAUUGUGUGCACUACAGUCCGUGAAACAUUAUGUCAUAAAUCUGAUAAUCUACGGUAUUUCAUUAGCGUGUAGCAUUUUUGUAAGCAUCCAGAUAUCAGCCAUUCCAUGGUGACUCGCGUGACAUUUGAACAAAAUGUAAAGUUUUAAUGCAUUACUGUUGUUAACCUGGCAUUUAUUCAACUCAAAUUAGCAUGUAUUUGAGUCAGGGCAUUGUGAAUUUAUGGUUUAGUUUUCAUAUGAUUACUUUAAAAUCGCUAUUUUUUUAUGUAUCACAGUUUCUUUGACGUGACUCGCGUGACAGGAUAGAAAAAGGGAUUUUUGACAUCCCUUGAUUCAAAUAGCUUUUCCUAUGGAUCUACCAGUGUUCUAAAAAUUAUUCUUACUGAACUUAGAACUUAAUACC